GCGCCGGUGGUGUAAUGGCGUAGAGCAUUCCCGCCCGGUUAGAGGGAGGUGCGGGUUCGAGUCCUGCCUGGUGCU
rnacentral:tRNA from 1 species